AUUUAAUCCUAAAAAUAGUGUAUGUUGCUACGCAGAGUUCCAUGCAAUUUCCCAAUCUUCAGGCAACUGAUUUUACAAAUUCAGUUCUGUUCGUUGAUGCUACUCAACUAACAGUUUUGCUGACGCUUACGUUCGUUAUUUGCCUUUAAAGGCAGUUUUUCUUCAGUGCAUAGACCGCAGUGCCUUCCCACUGCCGAAUAUGACUGAACUUGUUUCAAGAUUGACCAUUUGAUUCCGUAAUCUUUCCCAGUGGUCUUUAAUUUCCACACAUAUUUGGAAAAUUCUUUCUCAUAUUUAUAUCUUUUGUGUUUGAAUGAUUUCGUGUGGUUCCAAUAUCUCACUUUGAAAUCGUUCGCCAUCUUUCUGAUGUAUGGUUUCUCGAUCUUCCUUUGUUUUUAUGACUGCCUUCAUUUGUUUUAAUCACUAGGGAUUCUGCAAUCACACAUGUUCCUUGAGCUUUCUAUUGGCUCAGCUCUCGCCAGGACAUGCUUGUUGUGCCUGCAUGAAAGUAGAACUUUUAACAUUUUCCAUGCAGCUGUAGAUGAUGGUUUGCAGCUGACUUGUUUGCAGCUGACAUGUCGUGCAGCUGACAUUUUCCAUGCAGCUUUGAUGGAAUAAGGCAAUUUUGACAAUCUGACAAGGCGAUUUUAUGGGUGAAAUCUUAUGUGGAUAUACCUGACGAACACGUUUCCAUUAUAAAGCAUGUACAUAAGUCAUUAUUUAAUGCAAAUAAAACCAUGGGUGAAAAGAAACAACAACUCUGAUGUUGCUAUAUGCGGAGCUUUGGCGGAGCUGACGUGUGUGAGCUGAUUGGUUUAUUUGCAUACACUCACUAAGAAAUUUCGUAAAGAAAACAUCGGAUGGAUUGUACCUAGAUGAUGGUUUGGCACUAAUUAAAAGCGGUAGAUUAGCAGACAACGCAAAGAACAACCUUUGUGCCCAAUUUCUUCAGUUCGGUUUGAAAAUCACAGCCGGACUAAAUCAUCAACUGGUAAGCUUCCUCGAUGUAACUAUCAAUCUUAAAGACGGGAGUUACUCACCAUAUAGGAAACCCGACAAUGAUCCGUUAUAUAUAGACAAACACUCAAAUCACCCACCCUCCAUUACUAAACAACUAUACCGGCAUCAAUUAACUGAAGAAUUUCGUUUCUGUCAUCAAGUUAUAAACUAGUAUUUGACUCCGUAGCCAACGUAUAUGACGCAGCUCUGCAUAAGAGUACGUAACUCAAUUGCAAGCUUGAACAUUCCCUGUUCAAGCUAAUCCUUCAACAUGCUAAUCCUUCAACAACUACAAUCCAAAAACAGAAAUGACAAAGAAACAUCUGGUUCAACCCUCCUUUUAACAAAAUGUACGUUCAAACAUUGCUCGGGACUUUGUACGGCUAAUUGAUGAGCACUUUCCAAAAGCAAACCCCUUCACAAGGUUUUUGACCGAACAGAACAAGCCGUGUCCUGGCGAGAGCCGAGCCAAUCGAAAGCUCAAGCAAAUUGUGUGAAUGGAAGGGUAUAGUCAACAAGGCAGUGAUAAAAACAAAGAAAGAUCGCGAAACGAAGGAAUACAUCGGAAUGACGGCGAACGAUUUCAUGAAAUUGUUCAAAAACAAAAGAUAUGAAUAUGACACGGAGCUUUCCAAAUACGUGUUAAUGAACGCUGGGAAAGAUUAUGGAACCAAAUGGUCAAUCUUGAAAGAACUCCCCCCUCCCCCUAAUCUUGAAACAAGCUUAGGCGUAUUUGGCAGAUGGAAAGCACUGCAGUCUAUGCACUGAACAAAAACUGUACCAACAAUAAAAAUUUUAGCAAAGCAAAUAAAACUCCCAAUCGAAGAUCGGAACUAUUCGCAAAAUGCCGCCACACAGAGAAAUUUCACGCAGGAAAAUUUUAGUGUGCGCGACUAACAAACGUGUCAGCAAACUGUCAGUGAGUUAAAAACUGAAUUAACACAUAAAAACAGUUACUUGAGGAUUGCGAAACUGCAUGAAACUCUGAGUAGCAACAUACACUAUUUUAUCACAUACUUGUGCCUUUAUCACGGCGAUAACAGGGUGACAUAAAAACGAUUAACGAUAUCGUCACUGAUAUCGUUUUUUGUCCCGCUAUAUUUGUCGCUGUCAAAACAAAGGUUGCUGUUUUGUCGAUGUUGACAACUUUAAUAUCGAAGUAUAAAAUGAUAAUACAAAACGAAAAACCAAAAGGGACCAACUGCUUUGCAAAGAUAAGUUAUUCUGUUACAAAGGCAGAAGUAUGUGAUAAACAGGUUGUCAUAAUCGGGGUUGAGGGAAUAUCUGUUUUAUUGCUUUCAGGACGACAUCAUAAAUGUCCCUCAUUCGCUGCGCUCACUCAUGACAUUUACGAUAGCGUCCCUAAAGUUACAAAACUGAUAUAUGCCCUCACUCCUAUAUAUAUACUCUAUAACUUUUUCAACUGAAGUUAUGAAUAAUUUUAUGCAUUUAGAUAUUCAUAUUGUAGUAUAAUGAGACUUUUUACUGAUGUAAUUUAACCUAAAGGUUACAAAUCGGUACUUUAUUAAAUUAAAUUAUUAAUAUAUAUAUAUAUAUAUAUAUAUAUAUAUAUAUAUAUAUAUAUAUAUAUAUAUAUAUAUAGCGAAAGUUCUCCGGAAUGAUAAUAACUUUUAUUGUGCUUUCGACUUGGUACUUCGAGUCUUCAUCAGAAUUAUUUUACAAUUAAUGAGUUUGUUGUUUGCGUUCUUGUAUACAUCAGGAGCGUCUGAUCAACAAUAAAAAAAUUUAAAAAAACAGAUGCUCCCGAUGUACACGUGAACGCAAACAACAGCGCAAAAUUUCAAACUUAUUAAUUGUAUAAUUAAUAAUUCUGAUGCACACUUGAAGCACCGAGUCAAAAGUUCUAUAAAAGUUAUUAUUAAUCCGGAGAACUUUCACAAAUUAUAAUAUGCCUGAUUACAAAUAUUUAAAAGGUGUCCCAAAAUAAACUUGCGCUGUUUGAUUUAAUCUAACGUAAAAACUAUAAAAGUUAUUACACUCAAAUAAGUUUUAUUGUAUUCAGAAAUAGCUAACUUAGAUUUUGAUAUAUAACAUUUGAACGUCCGUGCAACAUUGAGACAUUAGUCUGUAAAGGCAAUUCUCCAUUGCAGUCGCUUUGCCCGCGCGGGCGGAGCGGGCUUUGAAAAUCUGCUCACGCGGGCGUGACGAUCGUCAAAAACAAUAAACGCUUCGCCCGCGCGGGCAAAGCGGGCGUUAAUGAAAACGGCCUUAAUUAAGUCUGGUCAUUGACUGCUCGAGCUAUCGAUGUUUCAACCUUGUUCGUGUCGGCUGGUCACGUGCCUCGUCCAAAUUUAGCGCCUGAGGAGGUGUGGGGAAAGUAUCAAAUUACAAACAGUUAAAAACAAUGCGAAUUAUUAAAGAGGCUGUCAAGUCCGUUCUGCUCAUGCGCCUGUUUUGUUUACAUUUUUUGUCAUAAUUUAAUUAAAAUUCUGAUCUGUAGGUCUCCAAGUUAGCUCAUUACGCA